AGUGAACGCUGGCGGUAGGCCUAACACAUGCCAGUCGAACGGCGGCACAGUAAGAGCUUGCUCUUACGGGUGGCGAGUGGCGGACGGGUGAGGAAUACAUCGGAAUCUACUUUUUCGUGGGGGAUAACGUAGGGAAACUUACGCUAAUACCGCAUACGACCUACGGGUGAAAGCAGGGGAUUUUCGGACCUUGCGCGAUUGAAUGAGCCGAUGUCGGAUUAGCUAGUUGGCGGGGUAAAGGCCCACCAAGGCGACGAUCCGUAGCUGGUCUGAGAGGAUGAUCAGCCACACUGGAACUGAGAAACGGUACAGACUCCUACGGGAGGCAGCAGUGGGGAAUAUUGGACAAUGGGCGCAAGCCUGAUCCAGCCAUACCGCGUGGGUGAAGAAGGCCUUCGGGUUGUAAAGCCCUUUUGUUGGGAAAGAAAAGCAGCAGGUUAAUACCCCGCUGUUCUGACGGUACCCAAAGAAUAAGCACCGGCUAACUUCGUG
rnacentral:rRNA from 1 species